AGUGAACGCUGGCGGUAGGCCUAACACAUGCAAGUCGAACAGCAGCACAGUAAGAGCUUGCUCUUACGGGUGGCGAGUGGCGGACGAGUGAGGAAUACAUCGGAAUCUACUUUUUCGUGGGGGAUAACGUAGGGAAACUUACGCUAAUACCGCAUACGACCUACGGGUGAAAGCAGGGGAUCUUCGGACCUUGCGCGAUUGAAUGAGCCGAUGUCGGAUUAGCUAGUUGGCGGGGUAAAGGCCCACCAAGGCGACGAUCCGUAGCUGGUCUGAGAGGAUGAUCAGCCACACUGGAACUGAGACACGGUCCAGACUCCUACGGGAGGCAGCAGUGGGGAAUAUUGGACAAUGGGCGCAAGCCUGAUCCAGCCAUACCGCGUGGGUGAAGAAGGCCUUCGGGUUGUAAAGCCCUUUUGUUGGGAAAGAAAAGCAGCAGGUUAAUACCCCGCUGUUCUGACGGUACCCAAAGAAUAAGCACCGGCUAACUUCGUG
rnacentral:rRNA from 1 species